CAGUUUUAUUGGUGGCGGAAGCUUCAGUGCUCGUAGAAAACCACCGAACUUCGAUAGGAAAACUGACAGACAAUCCUAGUCAAUUAAGAUUGAGGCCAAGUGCACCCGCAUGAGCGGUGUUCGAACUCACAACCUCAGUGUUGACUGGCUUGUGAUUACAGUAGGUGAGCUACUUGGACCACAUGGCCACCGAAGCCCCUCCUGACUUGUGAUAAUCACCUAUAAAAUUGGCGGGCUUAAACAUAUUUUUGAGCGUUCUACCUUGGAUAGCGAUGUAAAUGCCACA
rnacentral:lncRNA from 1 species